rnacentral:rRNA from 1 species
GACGAACGCUGGCGGCGUGCUUAACACAUGCAAGUCGAACGGAAAGGCCCUGCUUUUGUGGGGUGCUCGAGUGGCGAACGGGUGAGUAACACGUGAGUAACCUGCCCUUGACUUUGGGAUAACUUCAGGAAACUGGGGCUAAUACCGGAUAGGAGCUCCUGCUGCAUGGUGGGGGUUGGAAAGUUUCGGCGGUUGGGGAUGGACUCGCGGCUUAUCAGCUUGUUGGUGGGGUAGUGGCUUACCAAGGCUUUGACGGGUAGCCGGCCUGAGAGGGUGACCGGCCACAUUAGGACUGAGAUAAGGCCCAGACUCCUACGGGAGGCAGCAGUGGGGAAUAUUGCACAAUGGGCGGAAGCCUGAUGCAGCAACGCCGCGUGCGGGAUGACGGCCUUCGGGUUGUAAACCGCUUUCGCCUGUGACGAAGCGUGAGUGACGGUAAUGGGUAAAGAAGCACCGGCUAACUACGUG